rnacentral:rRNA from 1 species
AAUGAACGUUGGCGGCGUGGAUUAGGCAUGCAAGUCGAGCGCUCAUCAGCAAUGGUGGGAGCGGCGAACGGCGUAGGAAUUCAUAGGAACGUACCCUCGGGUCGGGGAUAGCUACGGGAAACUGUAGGUAAUACCCGAUGAUCUCUGCGGAGCAAAGGUGUGAUUCCGCCCGGGGAGCGGCUUAUGCGAUAUUAGCUAGUUGGUGAGGUAAUGGCUCACCAAGGCAAAGAUGUCUAGGGGGUGUGAGAGCAUGGCCCCCCACGACCGGAACUGAGACACUGUCCGGACACCUACGGGUGGCAG